rnacentral:rRNA from 1 species
AGGACGAACGCUGGCGGCGUGCUUAACACAUGCAAGUCGAACGGAAAGGCCCUGCUUUGUGGGGUGCUCGAGUGGCGAACGGGUGAGUAACACGUGAGUAACCUGCCCUUGACUUUGGGAUAACUUCAGGAAACUGGGGCUAAUACCGGAUAGGAGCUCCUGCUGCAUGGUGGGGGUUGGAAAGUUUCGGCGGUUGGGGAUGGACUCGCGGCUUAUCAGCUUGUUGGUGGGGUAGUGGCUUACCAAGGCUUUGACGGGUAGCCGGCCUGAGAGGGUGACCGGCCACAUUGGGACUGAGAUACGGCCCAGACUCCUACGGGAGGCAGCAGUGGGGAAUAUUGCACAAUGGGCGGAAGCCUGAUGCCAGCAACGCCGCGUGCGGGAUGACGGCCUUCGGGUUGUAAACCGCUUUCGCCUGUGACGAAGCGUGAGUGACGGUAAUGGGUAAAGAAGCACCGGCUAACUACGUGCCAGCCGCAGC